CUCGGUCCGAAGGUCUUCGUCACUGGAGCAAUGCUCAUCCAUCAUUUAUGACAGGAGACUCUAUGAUCAUCACCAGUGAUGCGGGUAAAGAAGGGAAAGUUGAGAGCAAAAAUGGCAAUAAAUCAGAAGAUAAUUAUGGAGGACUAGUACUGGAUCUCAGUGGUGUGAAGCAUAAUGUGAGACUGGACAGGAGAGGUUUUUGGUCUCUGCAUAUCCAUCUGAUCUUCCCAAGGGAGCUCCAAGGAUGGCAAGCGAGAGCCCAGGUAAUUUGGACAGGAGAGGCUUUUGGUCUCUGCACAUCCAUCUGAUCUUCCCAAGGGAGCUCCAAGGAUGGCAAGCGAGAGCCCAGAUGAGGAAACGGGAGUGACGGGGACGUGAAGGUGGC